AUUGAACGCUGGCGGCAGGCCUAACACAUGCAAGUCGAGCGGAUGAAGGGAGCUUGCUCCUGGAUUCAGCGGCGGACGGGUGAGUAAUGCCUAGGAAUCUGCCUGGUAGUGGGGGAUAACGUCCGGAAACGGGCGCUAAUACCGCAUACGUCCUGAGGGAGAAAGUGGGGGAUCUUCGGACCUCACGCUAUCAGAUGAGCCUAGGUCGGAUUAGCUAGUUGGUGGGGUAAAGGCCUACCAAGGCGACGAUCCGUAACUGGUCUGAGAGGAUGAUCAGUCACACUGGAACUGAGACACGGUUCAGACUCCUACGGGAGGCAGCAGUGGGGAAUAUUGGACAAUGGGCGAAAGCCUGAUCCAGCCAUGCCGCGUGUGUGAAGAAGGUCUUCGGAUCGUAAAGCACUUUAAGUUGGGAGGAAGGGCAGUAAGUUAAUACCUUGCUGUUUUGACGUUACCAACAGAAUAAGCACCGGCUAACUUCGUG
rnacentral:rRNA from 1 species